UACUGGGCGUAAGCGCACGCAGGCGGUCUGUCAAGUCGGAUGUGAAAUCCCCGGGCUCAACCUGGGAACUGCAUUCGAAACUGGCAGGCUAGAGUCUUGUAGAGGGGGGUAGAAUUCCAGGUGUAGCGGUGAAAUGCGUAGAGAUCUGGAGGAAUACCGGUGGCGAAGGCGGCCCCCUGGACAAAGACUGACGCUCAGGUGCGAAAGCGUGGGGAGCAAACAGGAUUAGAUACCCUGGUAGUCCACGCCGUAAACGAUGUCGAUUUGGAGGUUGUGCCCUUGAGGCGUGGCUUCCGGAGCUAACGCGUUAAAUCGACCGCCUGGGGAGUACGGCCGCAAGGUUAAAACUCAAAUGAAUUGACGGGGGCCCGCACAAGCGGUGGAGCAUGUGGUUUAAUUCGAUGCAACGCGAAGAACCUUACCUGGUCUUGACAUCCACAGAACUUUCCAGAGAUGCAUUGGUGCCUUCGGGAACUGUGAGACAGGUGCUGCAUGGCUGUCG
rnacentral:rRNA from 1 species